CCCCCGAGCGGCGGUGCUUGGCGGUGCCCAGCCUGGACGCUGGGCCCUGACCUGCGGGGAGCGCCAGAGCGCAGAGACCCAAGGAGGCGGUCUCCCGGAGCCUCCUCUUCCUCCCUAUCAAAGGGUUGGGCUGUGGCCUGAAAAAACGCGUGAUCGUAAACUUGGGUCGUUUUGUCGGUAACGCGGAAAGCCAGCCUUCCGGAGCCUGGGGGAUGUGUUACUUAAUCAGUACUAAAUACACCCGGCAACACCAAAACCACCACCGGCUACAGAUUCAGCGAAGAGUCAGAUCUUGCUAAUCAGGAAGAUGCAGUCAGAGCACAGACCUGAUAGUAGAGCAAAACUUUAUUGAAAAUUUUUCAUGGGAAAUAAUUUAUCUCAAUGAAAAUAAGUUCAGAAAAAUAAAAAUGGCAACGUUGUAAAUUAUUUAACUGCACUAGAAAGAAAAUUGAUCAAAAAAUUAAA